UUAAGCUUGGAGAACUCAUCUAUGGCUUCCUAGGUUUCGGCAUUUCUAUUGUAGAUUAAGAUCAAGAACCAAAGAAAUCGGAGUUAGAUCGGGAAAAAGUUAAAGUCGUCGAGUGAUCGUUCGAUUUUGAUUUUUCAUUGUCCGAGAUUUUGAGGUGGUUACGAGCUCAGGAUCGUCAGUAAAGUUUAUCACACUAUCGGAUAAUUAAGGUAUUUUAAGCUGAAAUUUUUCUUUGAGACUAUGACAUGUAUAGACUAGUUUGAAAUUGUUUCUUUUGAGAGUAAAUAUGUAUUAAAGCCAUGCGUAUGUGGCUUAAUUGGCUUGUUAUAGUCGGUUUUUGGUUUGAAUGAUAAUUUAUGCACAUUUUGGUUUGGUUUGGCA